rnacentral:rRNA from 1 species
AACGAACGCUGGCGGCAGGCCUAACACAUGCAGGUCGAACGCCGUAGCAAUACGGAGUGGCAGACGGGUGAGUAACGCGUGGGAACAUACCCCUCGGUUCGGAAUAACUCAGGGAAACUUGAGCUAAUACCGGAUACGUCCGAGGUUUUGAUCGACCUUGGAGAAAGAUUUAUCGCCGAAGGAUUGGCCCGCGUCUGAUUAGCUUGUUGGUGAGGUAAUGGCUCACCAAGGCGACGAUCAGUAGCUGGUCUGAGAGGAUGAUCAGCCACAUUGGGACUGAGACACGGCCCAAACUCCUACGGGAGGCAGCAGUGGGGAAUAUUGGACAAUGGGCGAAAGCCUGAUCCAGCCAUGCCGCGUGAGUGAUG